GAGAGCCGUGCUUUUCCCCCAAGCGGCGACUUUCCUAGCUAUCGCUUUCAAUAAGCCUCGUGCUUGUGUUUUUUCAUUAGUGCAUGUACAGGUUUACAAAGGUUAUCUUUGUGACGAUUUGCAACAGUUUUUGUCUGCUCAUUUAACCCGUUUGGAUGGAUGAGGCAAGUUGAGUUCGACCUGCCAAGCUCACCAUUCUAGGCUGUGGGGAAACCAAGAAUCAAGGCGCCAGCUCAAGAGCCGGUUUUCCAUCUCCAGGAAUUCCUUUAAAACUUAAGAUGAUCCCCUCAGCCCUUUCUUAAAGGCCACCAGUAACUGCGUUCACACUUUUUCAAGUGAAUGGUCUCAUCAAAGACCCAAAUGGUGUCUUUUCUUUCUUGGGGACCUUAGUCACUUGCACAGUGCCUAUAAAUAUCAGGCACCCAGUAAAUAUUUGCUGAAUGAGUCAGCUGUCUGUAGUCAAAAAUUAUUAUCUGUAGGGUCCAAACAGCCUCCUGGAAAAUCCAGAAUGUGGCAUCUUCCAUCGCAUGUUUUUAUACUUUGCAAGUAAUCUCUGCACCCAACGUGCUGCUAGAACAUAUAACGCCAAGAUCAAGAGACCCGUGCUCCACCAACUGAGCCAGCCAGGCACUCCAGACAAGUCACCAUGUUGGCAGGGGUGAUUUAUCCCAAUCAUCGAGAGGAAGUUGAAAUUCUGUUACACAAUGGAAGAUGGAAGGACGAUGUUCGGCACCCAGGUGGUCAAAGGCAAAGAGACGCAGGAAGCAGGAAGGAAGGCAGAGGAACUGGAGGCCAGCCAGGAACAAGCUGGGAAUGGCCAGACUGCACUGCUCCUUAGUUACCAUGGGCUUUGUCCAGCCAGAUGUCCUAGCAUCUCCUUGGUUUUCUGCCUGAGGAAUCUGACUAUUCAUUCUGAAGUUAUCUUAAAUGCUGUCCACAUUCACAAAUACUCCUCAGAGGCCAAAUUCAUUUUUAAAUGUUCAUCCUAGCAAGAGAUUUUUUUUUACAUAGAUGGGGAUACAGCCUGGACCUAAAUAGAUUUAGGUUCAAGUCUCAUCAUUGUAAUUUACUGCCUAAGUGAACUUAAGCAAUUGACUAGGAUUCUCUAGUCUUCAGCUUCCUCAUCUGCCCCAAAAUCGAGAUAAUUUACUCAAUAAAUAUUCACGUUUGAGUCCCUAUUAUGUGACACGCUCAGAUUUGGAUGUUGAGAACACAGAAGAAAACCACACAGGGUAGCUUCAUUCAAGUGAAGACGGGAGAGAAAUAAAUAGACAAGACAGUAUUGGAUGUUGAUAAAUGCUCGGAAGACAAUCCACCAAGUUGAUGUGCAAGAAGUGAUGGAGUUGCAGCAUCUUUGGAGGAGGAAAAAUUUGACAUUGUAGCCGAGACUGAGGACAAAAAGACAAGAAGAAACUCGCCUCGUGAAGAUUCGGGUGUGGAGCAUUCCAAUGAGAGGGAAAGAGAAUUUCAAAGGCCCUGAGGCGGAAGAAAGCGCUUGGUGUGUCCUUGGAAUAUAAAGAAGAUAUACAAU